AGUGAACGCUGGCGGUAGGCCUAACACAUGCAAGUCGAACGGCAGCACAGGAGAACUUGCUCUCUAGGUGGCGAGUGGCGGACGGGUGAGGAAUACAUCGGAAUCUGCCCAGUCGUGGGGGAUAACGUAGGGAAACUUACGCUAAUACCGCAUACGACCUUCGGGUGAAAGAGGGGGAUCGCAAGACCUCUCGCGAUUGGAUGAGCCGAUGUCGGAUUAGCUAGUUAGCGGGGUAAUGGCCCACCAAGGCGACGAUCCGUAGCUGGUCUGAGAGGAUGAUCAGCCACACUGGAACUGAGACACGGUCCAGACUCCUACGGGAGGCAGCAGUGGGGAAUAUUGGACAAUGGGCGCAAGCCUGAUCCAGCCAUACCGCGUGGGUGAAGAAGGCCUUCGGGUUGUAAAGCCCUUUUGUUGGGAAAGAAAUCGUUCAGGCUAAUACCCUGGGAGGAUGACGGUACCCAAAGAAUAAGCACCGGCUAACUUCGUG
rnacentral:rRNA from 1 species